rnacentral:rRNA from 1 species
CCUACGUGCGGCAGCAGUGGGGAAUAUUGGACAAUGGGCGAAAGCCUGAUCCAGCCAUGCCGCGUGUGUGAAGAAGGCCUUCGGGUUGUAAAGCACUUUCAGUGGGGAAGAAAGCCUUGGGGCUAAUACCCUCGAGGAAGGACAUCACCCACAGAAGAAGCACCGGCUAACUCCGUGCCAGCAGCCGCGGUAAUACGGAGGGUGCGAGCGUUAAUCGGAAUUACUGGGCGUAAAGCGCGCGUAGGCGGUCUGAUAAGCCGGUUGUGAAAGCCCCGGGCUCAACCUGGGAACGGCAUCCGGAACUGUCAGGCUAGAGUGCAGGAGAGGAAGGUAGAAUUCCCGAUGUAGCGGUGAAAUGCGUAGAGAUCGGGAGGAAUACCAGUGGCGAAGGCGGCCUUCUGGACUGACACUGACGCUGAGGUGCGAAAGCGUGGGUAGCAAACAGGAUUAGAUACCCCAGUAGUC